CACGGAGGCCAGGCCAGGCCAGGCCAGGCCAGGCUGGCACAGCCAUGAUCGGAUGGUGUUUGUUACAUGCCACCAUAUAUAUAUAUAUAUAUAUAUAUAUAUAUAUAUAUAUAUUCACACUCACACUCAUACACACUGUUCCUAUUAUUAAUUAUCCAUACAUUUUCAUGCUUUUGACAAUUUCUCCCUCAUGCUCUGUGUGUCCGAGUAUGUGUGUGUGUGUGUGAUUGCUUCAUCUUUGACUGAUGGUAGCCAUUUCAGUUAGUCUACAUCAUCUCGACAAUCUCCCAUGCGUCUGUGUGCUCCGAGAAGUGUCACAAGCUUUAAUAGAGAGACAGGACGAGCCAAACAAAAUGAGACAUCUGUAGGUCAUUGGACUCAAGUGAUAUACACUUGUACAACACAUAUCCCACUCUCUCCCUCUCUCUCUCUCUAAAUAUCGGUAACUGGAAUCCAGUGAAUAACAAACAUUGCAAAAUAACUGGUAGCUACUUCAACUGCAGGUUUGAUAUCAGAGUGCCUUCUCUUAGAAUUUUCCCAUCAAUGGGCACCCUUAAAGCAGCAGGAUUUUGAAAGAAGCACAUUUGGACACAACUGUUGCUUUAAUGAGUCUUGUUUUUUUGGGGGUUUUUUAUCGUAUGGUUUGUCCAAAAAAUCACCCUUCUCAUCAAGCCUUCUUGGUGGGGGUUGCCAGUUUAGUCACCAAUGACCCAACCGUGCAACAGGUUGUAAUGGGUUACAUGAUAUUAACAGUAGCAUUCAA